rnacentral:rRNA from 1 species
CGGGAGCAAUCCUGGUGGCGAGUGGCGAACGGGUGAGUAAUAUAUCGGAACGUGCCCAGUAGUGGGGGAUAGCCCGGCGAAAGCCGGAUUAAUACCGCAUACGACCUACGGGUGAAAGCGGGGGAUCGCAAGACCUCGCGCUAUUGGAGCGGCCGAUAUCAGAUUAGCUUGUUGGUGGGGUAAAAGCCUACCAAGGCGACGAUCUGUAGCUGGUCUGAGAGGACGACCAGCCACACUGGGACUGAGACACGGCCCAGACUCCUACGGGAGGCAGCAGUGGGGAAUUUUGGACAAUGGGCGCAAGCCUGAUCCAGCCAUGCCGCGUGCGGGAAGAAGGCCUUCGGGUUGUAAACCGCUUUUGUCAGGGAAGAAACGGCUCUUGCUAAUAUCGAGAGCUAAUGACGGUACCUGAAGAAUAAGCACCGGCUAACUACGUGCCAGCAGCCGCGGUAAUACGUAGGGUGCAAGCGUUAAUCGGAAUUACUGGGCGUAAAGCGUGCGCAGGCGGUUGUGCAAGACAGAUGUGAAAUCCCCGGGCUCAACCUGGGAACUGCAUUUGUGACUGCAUGGCUAGAGUGCGGCAGAGGGGGAUGGAAUUCCGCGUGUAGCAGUGAAAUGCGUAGAUAUGCGGAGGAACACCGAUGGCGAAGGCAAUCCCCUGGGCCUGCACUGACGCUCAUGCACGAAAGCGUGGGGAGCAAACAGGAUUAGAUACCC